AGCUGCGAGGAUUGACAGAUUGAAAGCUCUUUCUUGAUUCGGUGGAUGGUGUUGCAUGGCCGUUCUUAGUUGGUGGAGCGAUUUGUCUGGUUAAUUCCUCUAACGAACGAGACUUUAACCUACUAAAUAGUGGACUGGUCCUCUGUAAUCAUUCACGGCUUCUAUUGUUUCUUUAUGGAGUAGUGUGGUCGUGAUCCGGUGGGUACGGUGCCAGUUUUAACUUCUUAGAGGAACUGACGGCACAUUGAAGUCGUACGAAAUUGAUCAAUAACAAGUCUGUGAUGCCCUUGGAU
rnacentral:ncRNA from 1 species